rnacentral:rRNA from 1 species
UACGUAGGGUGCGAGCGUUGUCCGGAAUUAUUGGGCGUAAAGAGCUUGUAGGCGGUCUGUCGCGUCUGCUGUGAAAAUCCGGGGCUCAACCCCGGACUUGCAGUGGGUACGGGCAGACUAGAGUGUGGUAGGGGAGACUGGAAUUCCUGGUGUAGCGGUGAAAUGCGCAUAUCAGGAGGAACACCGAUGGCGAAGGCAGGUCUCUGGGCCACUACUGACGCUGAGAAGCGAAAGCAUGGGGAGCGAACAGG